CGGCCCCGCCCGCUGCUCCCGCCUCGCUCCUCCCUCCUACCCUGGCCCUACCUCGCCCGCUCCACGCACCUGCCUCUAGUUUUGCUACAUUCUACUCCCCUGAAAAUCAGCGCAUUUCCACCAGUUUUUCAACUAGAUCAAUGCGAAGUUGUUUCUAAUCUCACCACUAAUGCUUUUCACGUCUGGGACUGGCGAUGUCCUCCCUUCACAUCUGUGAGGUUGGUUACGCGCGCCUCUGCCCACUCUGCAGGCCUGGCGAGGUGCCUCCACGCUCUUCAUUGGUUGAAGGAAUUUCUCUUGAGUGGAAUUGCUGGGCUAUAGCGUCCGUGGCAUGCUUCUUUAGGAGAUGCUUGUUGAUCCCCUCGCCUCCCAGCCCCACUCUGCAUUUGACUGAUCAACAAGUGGGAAAGGUGUAAUGAAGUCUCUCUGUCUCCCAUCGUGGCCAGCAAGGCUCCAGAGCGGGAAUCUACCUCAGCGGCCUGCCUGCCCCGGGUGUGGACGGUGUUGCAGCAAGCUCUGCACAGCCCUGCCCCUCGCCACUCUACUCUGGCACUGGGCACCCCUUACUGCUGCCUCACCUGCCGGUGUUCCCCUAUCCGCUUCCCCCCUUCUUUGUUCUUCCUCAUCUCCAUGGCUCCUUUGGUGGUAGGGUCCUAGGGCUCAGCCUCCCCCCAGCUUCCUCACUCCUCAGGGCACCUUGCUGCUCGGCCUCAGGCAGGCUUGGGCCCAGCUGUGCCCUCCAGCUGCCCACCGGAUGUUCCACUCAAGUGGCUGUUUGGACUGACCAGAUUGCCUGACGUGCCCACCUGUAUCUCUCAUUGUCUCCUGUCACCAGAAGUGGCACCUCACUUCCUCCCUGGCCUCAGAAGCACAAGUCAGACCUACCAACCACUCCUUGUCGCCCACGGCCAAGGCCUAAGUGCCCUAGAGCCCUCCACACUGGCAAACCCAAGCACAUGCCUGGAGCUCUGCGUCAUGGCUUCCUGCUCAGGCUGAUGAACACGUCAUAACAGCUGCUCACACCAGAUGCUUCGGAGUCAUCCCUGGCCUUCUUUCUUGUGUUCCUCCUCUAAUCCUUAGUAAAUCCUGGCUGUAUUUUCUUCAAAAUACAUCUAGAACCCGCCCCAUCCCCCACCAGGCCAGAGUGGGUGGUGCAAAGCGGCUGCAGGCUUUACUCUCUGUGGCAGCCGGGGGGGUCCCAUAAAAUAAGUCAGGUGUCACAAGACUCCUCUACCUGCCACACACAGUGAAACCGGAGGCCUCAGGCUGCCUGCCCACUUCCUCUCUGGCCUGUGCUCCUUUCUCCCUCUCAACUUCAGCCAGCUCUCUAAAGGAGCCAGAACCAUCCGUCACACGCAGCACCUGCUCCUCACGGCCCCUUUCAGGAGAACAGGCACCCCGUCUGCUCAGCACCUGGUACUUUGGGGGCACUGGGUCAACUCUGUUCGGUGAAGAAGUGAAUUCACUCAGGAGUUCAGGCCCAGAACGCCAGGCUCAUCCUUGCUGCUUUCUUUUGCCUCCCUCCCUCCUCCUUCACCCCACAUCUAAAGAGUUAGCAGAUCCCCAGGCUCUGCUUUCUAAGCAGCCUGUGCUCUGCCCCCCACAUGCCCUGGUGUGUCACGGCCACCGCCCUCCUGUAGUGCUACACUGCAGCCGGAGCACGCCUUUUAAACUAGCCACUUGGCCAUGAAAUGUCUGUUUUCUGAGCUCUGUCCCAAGCCCAGAACAGUGAGUGGCCCACAGCUGAUGUCCAGCAGCCCACUUGGGAAGCUCUAUGUUGGAUGCCUUCAUGCAGCACCCAAUUGGGUCCUCCCAGCAGCAGGGGAGGCACCAACAGAGUCACCCCUUUUCAGACAAGGGCGCCAAAGCUCAGGCUGAGAUGCCACUGCUGAGGCUCCCAGACCUCAGGGCCCAGUUUUGGCUCCGCCCCGUGAGAAUACACAUCUCUGUAGGGAAGGCAUGGAGAAGGGAUAAGGGCAAGCUGACCUGCCCCCCCCACCGGCAGGACCUCUGGACCCCAGGAGCUCCUCACACUCUAAGCCUGCACCAUCACUGACCAGGCUCCCCUCUGCCUGCCACCUCCCCCGCUCUGGUCCACCUGAACUGCCCGACAGCACCAGACACAUAUCCCUCGAUGGCUGCAUGGUUCCUAGCAAGGAGAGGGGCCUCCCCUGCCCUGCACACCAGCCCUGACUCUGUCCUGGGACAGAUGGCGUGUCCCCGGACCUGUCCCCAGCUGCUGACUGGCUCGGCCCCGCGGGCGCGGGCCUGGCUGGAGUGGAUCAGCGGAGCGUGAGUCGAGCUCACCUGCUCGCAGAGGGAGCGCAGGCCCAUGUCAUCGAGGCGGUCCAGCUCAAAGGUCUCCCCCAGCAUGGGGUUGAAGGGCUUGGCGAUGCGGUGCACAGUGGUGGAGUAGGAGGACACGGAGAAGGCGGCCACCAGGCACAUCUGCUCCACCGAGCUGGUGCAGUGCACCGCCUUGUCCAGCAGGUGGUGGUACUCCAGGUCCUCCGUCAGCCGCUGGAGCAUGGACAGGGGCUCGUUAAAGUUGACCUGCGGACAGGCAGCGGUCAGGUGCGGCUCCGGCCCCAGGUCGGCAGGCACCGUCACUGGCUCCGGUGUCGGGGGCACCGCUGCUAGGGGGCGCUUUCACCGUGAGUUUCCUCUGCUCUAAAGCCCUGUUCCAACCCACUGCUCCCUGCACGCUCCUCCCCAGCGCCUCCGGCCUCAGUUUCUCCACAGCCUCACCGCUUUCUGACCUGCUCUAUCUCGUACCCUGGCGCUGGUGGUUACUGUCACUCUCCCCUCCGAGGAUGGGAAUGCCACAGACGCCCGCGUUUCUGACUUGGUCCGCAGAGUCAGAGUCAGUGAGUGGAUGGGUGGGUGGAUGAGGGGGUCUUCCUUCUGAGCUGUUCUGCUGGGUUUCUGGUAAAGUUCCUGUAGGUGGCCCCCCAUCCUGGCCUCGGACAGGGACGACCCAGACACUGUCGUGUGGCCUCUGUGACCCUCCCCGCUUUGCAGAUGUGGACACACAGGCCAUAGCCGUGACGGGGCUUGGCCCCAGGGCACACAGUGAAACCAAGUCUGGCCGGAACCCAAAGCUCUUCCUCCCCGGAGAUGCCAUCGCAGCCUGGUGGCACGAGGAGGCCGGCUCUACCCUCACUGUGUGACCUCACUGGCAUGGGCACCAGAGACCACUCUGGGCACAGGGGACGGCCCAGCCCUGCUGCCUCCUUCUACGAGGAUGGGGCAGCCAGGAUACUAUGAAGCCCUGCCAGGGGCAGAGGUGCUCUCUGGGGGUCCCCACGCCCCCCCUUAGCUCCUUCCCCCAGAGCCUGAAACCUCUGUUCUCAGGGGGAUUUUGGCAACGUCGUUGAACAUGAUUUGAUCAUUUGUUACAUGCUCCUCCGGUGUCAUUAAGAAAAUAACACCUGGGCUGCUUGUACUUCUCAGAGGCCAGGACCUCUCCCCCACGCACACCAAGAGCCCGCGGAGCCUGCUGCGGCUGCCGGCCCCAGCCCGUACCGGCAUGGGGAUCUUGGAGAGCUCCCGGCCGAUGCAGUUCUUCAUGAUGCUCCAGAGAUUAAGGCUGUAGUUGGGUUUGUCAGGAAUGCGGACACGCCUCUUGACUUUGGGGGGGCCCUUGGGCACAAGCGAGGCGCCAUCUAGCACCUGCCAGAGAGAAUGCGGCUGCUAGCGGAGGCCGGGGCGCCCCUCCAGCCCUCCAGCCCUGGCCCUACCUCCACCCAGUGCAGUCCGAGGACCGAGCUGGCCACUGGCGAGUUGCUGGCGCAGCAGCAGGCUGAUUGCCCGACCGGUCAGACCAGGGUGUGGGCAGCCAGGGCACCGAGGCCACCCCCAGGGGCCCAGAGCCCACGGUGCCAGCCUGCCCUCCAGACACACUUGGGGUCUCCCCUCACUUGCAUUGUCUGAUGAGGUCCAGUCCACUGAGCCUGUGGUCCCACCCUCUGCUUUUCUGAAGAAACACAAAAAAGGGGAGGCAAGUUAUUUACAAAUCCUGAGGCGUCCUGGGGACCUAGCCAGACCCCUCAUGAGGUGCAAGGGGCGCCCCACCCCAGGGCUGCUUCUCCAAGGGGACAUCUCCCGUUUGGGACAUUCAACUGGGCUGAAGGCCUGGGGCAGUGAUUGGAGGGGCUCCCAUGCACUGAUGCCCCGUAGGAGGAGCCACUUCAGCAAAGUGGCCCGAAGUCUCUGCAUACAGCCCCCUCCUGGGACUGGCUGACCCAGGUCCUGGAUGAAGCUGGGGGUGGCCAUUUCCUCUGGCAGAGCUGCCUAGGGACCUCCCAGCCCCCUCCAUCAGAGACAGGCCCUGCUGUGUCCCCACUGUCUGCUGGUCUGACUCUCGCACUAGACCUGGGUUCCAGAAGGGCAGGAAGUGGGUCAGAUACAUCCCUGUGCCUGCAAAUACUUAUGGUGAGAUGGUUGGCCAGAGCAGUGACGGGGGUGCUAUGGCUGAGGGGCCCAAGGACAGGGCACCUGGGCCAGCUGGGGCAAGGGACAGGCACUUGGCAGUCAGGGUCUCAGGAAAUGGGGAGAAUUCACUGGGGCAUUAGGGCAAGGGGCCCCCUUGGCAGAAGCCCCAGCCGCAGCCCAGAGUGGCUAACAACCAGGGAAGGUGGCACUUUGAGCCUUGCGGCUGUGUCAGGAGGCUAGGGAACCAGUGAAGAGUGUUGAGCACAGGGGUCACCUACUUGCUGGUCGGGUGGCAGCAGAGAGGCCUGGGGCUGUUGGCUGAGGUGUGGAAGGUGGCCUGGAUGGGGGUGCAAAGGAGGACACAAAGCCCAGGCCCCAGGGGACUCCAGGAUUGGGAGAGGUGGGCAGGGAGCCAGAGGGGCCCGAGAGGGUGACAUUGCUGGGUAAUAAAGUGAAAGGAAAUUCAGAAUAGCCAAGUCCAGCUCAUUUUGAGAGUAAUAUAAGCAAAUUUUGAAAUAUUAUUGGGAAGUGGGCCGUGAUUGAGUUGGAAAUACGCUGUUGAUCGGACUAGAAACUUCAUGAGGGGUUAGAAAGAAACCAGGACAUGGGGGUGGUGAUGCGUCAGUCCACAGAGGCCAAAAAUGUGUGGCCAGGGGUUUUAAUUGCCCUCUUCCCACACCUCCCCUGGACUGGGCUUCAGGGAGCCCACGGAAGGCAGUGUGGGUUGUGAUGGACAGCAGAACAGAUGC